CACCAAAAUGUAGUGGUUCAAAUGUUGGACUAUGACUCUGGAGACCAGGGUUCAAUUCCCAGCUUGGUCA